AUUUAAAUAGUUUAAUAAAAAUAUUGAUUUGUGGAAUCAAUGAUAUGCAGAAAUGGCAUUUUAGAUA
rnacentral:tRNA from 1 species